GAGGGGGCAGUUAAAGAUGAAGCCACUGGGAGUACUCUCCUCUGCUCGAGGGACAGCACUGAGGGACACUCUACCCUCACUCAGCCACCCACCGUCCACUCCUGCCUGAUCCAGCAGAGGAGCAAUCAUCACAUGUCAUAUUUGCAAACUGUUAGAUAAGUAACGAAAGCAACCUCACUCUGUUUGGCCUGAUAGUUUAAUGUCUUUUUUCCACUUAUUUGAGGAUUACCCGGAACAUCAACGCAGUGUAUACAACAUACAAUCAUCAAUGGUGUGUGCAGUACCUACAAGCCAUAGAUAUUACCAUCUUACAUUUACAGUUGACACUUUACCGGUUACAAAGCAAUUUCAUACAUACUGCCUCAGACAGAAUCUAAUACCAGCCUGAAAGAUGAAUCAAGGAGGAAUUACUACAUAUGAGGAAAUGGAAGUCAAAAGAGAAGACUGAGGAUCAGAGUUUAAGGAAAAUUGCCCAAGGACAUCAGUCAAGGAAGUGGCUGGAGCUGGAGCCCUAUCCUUCUGGCUCGUAGUCCAGAGCCUGCUCUGUGAUAACACCAGUCAAGCCCACAGCAGAAGGCUGCUAGGAAGAACCAGCUUGGACCACAUCGUGCUGGAUUUAAAGCUAUAAACCAGCCACCAACCAGCACAGGAGGCUCAGAGACAAACCUCAUCGUAUUUGCGGAAGUCAGGACUUGUGAGCUGACUACUGUUGCACAUCCCCAAUGAGGGUGGCACCUGAGGGUGUGACCUCCGAGUACAGCAUGGCAAAUGUAGGAUCCACUGAAGGAAGAGCCUCUGGCUGGAGCAGCUCUUGGCUACUGAUCGAGGGUCCGUGGAUGUGUCUGAAGGUGCAGGCCGUGUGGUGGAGCAAAAGUGGCCCUGUCCCGGAUGGUGGACGUCCUGGUCCCUGUCCUGCAUUACCUGAUCUUGACAGGAUAAUCACAUGGGUUUGUUUAGUAAACACGGAGGCGGCUCCACAACCCAGCUGCCUGGCAAAGGGCCUGUGACUGCUCUGGGAAAGCUUUGCUCCUAGCACAGGGCUUCAGAAAGAGUUUUCAGGGGACCCAGUCCCAACUGAGCCAGAUCGGCCUCCUUUCCAAACCCAUAGCCGCUUCAGAGAGCCAGACAGUUUUGCAGGGGAGCUGUCUGUCGGUGCCCGCAGGGGAACUUUGUAUUGGGUAGUUGUAUGACUAUGCACCCAACAGCCACUACUGAGGCUCUGGGCUUGCUGGGAUGGAUGUGUAUGUAAAUUAAAAAGAAAAAAAAAAAAAGAGCCUGGAGGUAUGUUGAUAAAACUAGAAGUUUCCUUGAACCCUCCUGUUCUGUCCUGCUAAGCAUUUGGGAGGUUCCCAUCCAUUGAUUAGCUACUUGAUGUGCUAGGUACAGGGAUGGGGUAAGGAGAUGAAUAAAAUAAGGCCUGUUCUCAAGGAGCUCAACCAGUCCAGUGUGCGGCUGGGGGGGACAUGCGAGGACACACAGGUCAAUGACUAACUCUGAUACAGUGAGGUUGGUGCCUUAACUGGGUGAUGCACUCAGUGUCAUGGAAGCAGUAAUUGGAGGAGGAGGAGGAGGAGGAGGAGGAGGAGGAGGAGGAGAAGCCUUCAGCUUUAUAGAAUACGGGUGCAACAGGGGUUUGACAGGAGAACGGGCGGAAGGGCAUACAGGCAUGAGGAACAGCAGGUGCAAAAAUAUGGGGCCAAGAGAAGAUGUGGGUGUCACCAGAACAGGAACACGUUGCUGGAGGUUUUUACAUGUGCCGGGAAGGUAGUGGAGGUGCAGGAGGGUAGAAGGCUUGGAGGAGCCAUGGGGACUGGGGCUGGGAAGGUUAUCUGGGGCAGGAUUGCGGAAAACCUGGCUCCAGGGCCUCCUAAGGCAAAGAGAAGGAGGGAGUAGGGCAGCCCGUAGAAAUGUAGAUCCCAGACUUCCUGGGCUGGUGAGAAGGACCCUGAAGUAGUCAAAAGGAAGCAUAUUUACAAGCCUCUGGGUCCUGAUUGUUGCUGAAGCUGAUUCUAGAAAUUUGUAAUUGCGUUUGGGUACAUUCAGGAGUAGGGGCAGGUUUGGAAAGAUCUUUUAAAGAAAAAGAAUACCAACUUUGAUUACAAGAGUGCUGGAGUGCCUUCCCGGGCCCGGAAGAGCCUUGUACAAGCAGGGCACUCUGAAGCUUAUCUUCCAUUAGCCUCAAAGUGAACCCACCCCUGGAAACUGAGUGGUGUUUAUAUAAAAUACUGCAAGUCAGAAGUAAAGCCUGAUUUUAUGAUUUCAUAGCUAUUCCCCUGGGAGAAAAGUCUUUUGCUGCCAGUUAUUUCUCUUCUAUAAACAAGUCUUAGUCCUGUGCCCUCUUUUCUACUGACCCCCUUUCCCUAGCUGACCAGCUUCUGGCACAAUCCGUGAUGUUUCCUGCACUUGAGCCCCUACCUGCCUUUCCAGCCACCUCUCCUAUCGCUCCCUGCUCCAGCCCCAGGGCCUCUCUGUCUGGUCCUCGCACUUGUCAAGCUCCUUCCUAUUUUAGUACCUUGGCCUCAGCCUUCCCUCUCUGCCUGGAGCACUUUUUUUCCAGAACUUCCUCCUCACUUUCAGCACACAGCCUCAACGGCCCCCUCUCUGACGUCCCUGCUCACCCAACCUAACGAAAACUCCUAGGCACACUCUAUUGCAUUGCUUUGCCUUAUUUUCUCCAUGGCACAUUUUCACGAACCAAACUCACUUAUUUAUUUAUUACCAUGGAAGUACAGUUGACAUACAGUGUUGUGUUGGGUUCAGGUGCACAACAUUCAACAACUCUAUGCAUUACUCAGUGCUCAUCAUGGUAAGUGUCAUCACCACCUAUUGCCACACAACAUUAUUACAAUAUUAUUGGCUGUCAAAGUCGUCUUGUUUUAUUUAUUUACUUUUUGACUUUUUACCAUCUAUAAAAAUACCUCCUCAUCACAUGAGUUGCUCGAACACUGGGACCUCGUUUGUCUCGCACACUGUGCUAUGCUUUAAAACAACAGAGUUUACUGGUAGCAUUCUUACGUAAUUAUAAUACUUUGCAUCUGCGUAGCCCUUUCUAGUUUCCAAAACAUUUUUACAUACAUAAGCUCACUUUUCCCUCCAAACAACCCAAUGGUGUAAGUAGGAGAGGGAUUGUUUUGGCUACAUCUUAAACAUGAGUAAAUUGAAAUUUAGAGGGGUGGAAUGACUUGUUACAGUUUUCCAGCUGAUAAGUGACGGCCCCAGGUCCCCUUCCAUCAAGACGAACUCUCUUUUCCUCCUGGCUCGUAUUUUGCUAAGACUUGUUUCUUCU